GGGUUGCGCGGAAUGUAGUGUUUGGGAGAGCCUUCUCAUGAUGCGCGGUGCAAAAUCUGUCUAAGUCCACCUUGACUGGGGCCACUACCCAUAGAGGGUGAUAGGCCCGUAAGACAGUCUGCGUGUUGUGCUGGCUUUUUCCCUAGAGUCGAGUUGCUUGGGAGUGCAGCUCAAAGUGCGUGGUAAACUCCACGUAAGGCUAAAUAUCACCCCGAGACCGAUAGCGAACAAGUACCGUGAGGGAAGGUUGAAAAGAACUUUGAAGAGAGAGUUCAAUAGUACGUGAAACUGUGUAGCGGUAAACAGAGGGGCUCUCGAAGUCCAGGCUGGAGAUUCAGGUUGCCAGAUGGCUAGUUUGGCUGGUGCGAAGAUCUGCAUAGGACUUUGUGCCUGGUCAAAUGUUGUUGGCUGGAUGGCGAUUGCACUUCUCUGGCCUAGCAAUGGGCGCGACGAGCCACUGAGAGCGAAUCAAGUGCGUGGGUGAAGUUUGCUUCAACAGUCUUAUGGCUGGUGUUGUGAGCCCCGCGUUUUCUGGCUUCGAUUUCGGUGGUCUUAUGUAUGGAGAUAGGACAGACUCGUCUAUAGCGAGUGCCGCUUUUGUGGCACUGUCUUUGUCCGACAUCUGUCG
rnacentral:rRNA from 1 species